AGAUAUUGACGAAUGUGCUGAUGCAUCCUCACAUAAUUGCGAUGACAAUGCAAACUGUACUAAUACCACUGGUUCUUUUACAUGUGUGUGUCGUGAAGGUUUCAGCGGCGAUGGCGUAAAUUGCCAAAGUAUGAGAAAUAUCUUUAUUAACUUUAUCUAUGAAAUGUUGAUAAGAAAUGGAAUUUUAGUGCAUGACAUGUAUACUUUUUGCAGUAGAGCGCUUUUAAUCAGGCUAACAUUUUCAGUAUUUCUUUAUUUAUUUACACCAAAAUAACAGAAUACUGAUUGACUGGGGGAGUAGGAUUGUUUCCUUGGUUUGAUUAAUUUAUAAUGCACGUAUAUAUGUUUUAUCCAACAAACUACUUCUUGCUUUAAAUUGCAAAUCGAAAUCGCUUUAUAGCAGUUUAUAAUAUAAGUGGGAUAUAACAGAUAAUUUGAUUGGCUAAUGCGCGUACAUUUUGACGUAAUAAUGCAAUGUUCCGUGGCACUGCCUUGCUCUUUCUGUGUUUUCCCCUCUUUAUCUCUGCUUUUUAGCCAAAAAUAUAAACAAACCUAUAGCUAGAGAUUUUAAAAUGCGAAAUUUAUCAGAAAGCAAGAAGGAAUUGACCAAAGAAACAAAGCAAUUUUAUCUAUAUAUAGUUCUAUGUGUGAAAACAGUAAAAUUAACCGGCUUGGUAUUCGUCAAUUUUCUUCUCUCUCGACAAGUUUUGGGCAAUUAAAAGCGUGCAAAAUAGCCGAGGAAAAACUUGAAAAAGACAUAGGAAUGCCAAAAAUAUAGAAAAAGGAAAAAAAAACUGAACAUAAGUGAUUUAGAAAAGUACCUUCAAUGCUUACCCUACGACUUAACGUCUUUCAUGGCAAAUCCAACAGCGCAAAGGCUGAAAAACAUUAGCAAAUUAGUGUGUGUACCACUGGAGUUUUUUCUCCCUCAUUUUAGUUUCUCCGCAACAUUAGCAUCAAAAUGAUAUUAAAAUUUUAUAUUGAUUUUACUCCUUUGCUCGCUUAAAAAUUCAAACGUCAGUACAAGGCUAAAAGCAUGCGCGUGAUGUCACUGAGUACAUGUUAGGCGAAUUUCAAAGUUGAUCUUUUGAGUAAACUUGGUUAUACCAUGUAAUAUUUUCCACUGAUAUUAUAAAAGAAAUAAAACUCGUCUCAUGCUUUUAUGGUGUGAUAAUUCACUCGGGGAAUGUUGGGAGAAUACUCGAGAAGCGUGUAAAACACUCGGCUACGCCUCGAGUUAUGCUGAAUGUUUUUCCUAUAUGUGUUACCUAUAAAGCUCGCAAAGAACUUGAGCUGUAAGCUGAGCGAAUAUUCAUAUUUAUGAAUUGUAAAGUUUCAUGUUAAAUAUUUAUGGCAAUGAAAGCAAUUAAUUAUUAUCAAAAUUGAUUUCCUUGCGAAGUAAAUACUUGAACCCAGACAUUUUCACGACAUUGGACUUGGUUGAUAGAACUCUAGCUGGUUACUUAUAAUUUACGGAAUCUCUUAUUUAGAUAUUGACGAGUGUUCGGGAAUUAAUGAUUGCCAUAGUGAUGCAAACUGUACUGAUACAAUGGGUUCCUAUACCUGUGAAUGUAAGCCAGGUUCCACCGGAAAUGGCAGAAGUUGUCAAGGUAGGGACAAGUUGAUUCUCUUCUUUAAC
rnacentral:lncRNA from 1 species